AUAACCCACCAAAACCCAUCCUAACUAAUCCAUAACAGACCCAAUAGAGUUUAAAGUAAUCCAUAACCCAACCAAACACAUCGUAACUAAUCAAUAACAGACCCAGUAGAGUUUAUAGUAAUCUAUAACCCACCCAAACACAUCUUAACUAAUCUAUAACUCACACAAGAGUUUAAAGUAAUCUAUAACCCAACCAAACACAUUUUAACUAAUCUAUAACUCACUCAAUAGAGUUUAAAGUAAUCCAUAACCCACCCAAACACAUCUUAACUAAUCCAUAACCUAUCCAAAUGCAAGUUAACUAAUCCAUAACCCACACAAACACAGGUUAACUAGUCCAUAACCCACGUAAACACAGGUUAUCUAAUCCAUAACCCACCCAAGCAUAUGUUAACUAGCCCAUAACUAGGGUUGGGAAUCGUGAGAAAUUUUCUGGUUCCGAUUCCAGUUCUGCCUAAAGAUUCCGGUUCUGGUUCCAUUACAAUAAUUAAACAACUAAUAAAAAACAGUAGUAAGUGAAAAAUGCACAAUACUUGACUCAAACUGUCCUUUUUGUGUUCAUUAUUCUUGUAAAAUGAAUUUAACAGACUGUUAAUCUCAACAAAUUAACACUUUACAAUAAGGUUCAUUAGUUAACAUUAGUUAACUACAUUAACAUGAACUAAUAAUGAACUGCAUUUCUACAGCAUUUAUUAAUAUCUGUUAAUGUUAAUUUCAUCAUUUACUAAUACAUUAUUAAAUUCAAGAGUUGUAUUUGUUAACAUUAGUUAAUGCACUGUGGAGUAACAUGAACAAACUAUGAACGGCUGUAUUUUUAUUAACUAACAUGAACAAAGAUUAACAAAUACAGUAACAAAUGUAUCACUCAUGGUUAGUUCAUAAAUGAACCUCAUUGUAACGUGUUACCACAAAUUAGAUAAGAUGCUUGAACACACAUGUAAGAUCCAGACAGGUGAAACAGAAUAUUUUUGUAAGUUGGAUUCAUGAAGACUUGUUUCUGAAAGAAUGAUUCAGUGAUAGACAUAUUUUUAACAGUAAAUUUGUUGCCACCUAGUGGCGUAACAAUGCAAUCGAUACGAAUCCAUAACCCAACCAAAUGCAGGUUAUCUAAUCCAUAACCCACCCAAACACAGGUUAUCUAAUCCAUAACCCAACUAAGCAUAGGUUAACUAGUCCAUAACCCACGUAAACACAGGUUAACGAAUACAUAACCCACCCAAACACAGGUUAACGAAUCCAUAACCCAUCCAAAUGCAGGUUAUCUAAGCCAUAACCCAGCCAAGCAUAGGUUAUCUAAUCCAUAACCCACCCAAGCAUAGGUUAACUAGUCCAUAACCCACGUAAACACAGGUUAACGAAUCCAUAACCCAUCUAAAUGCAGGUUAUCUAAUCCAUAACCCAGCCAAGCAUAGGUUAUCUAAUCCAUAACCCACGCAAGCAUAGGUUAAUUAGUACAUAACCCACGCAAAACACAGGUUAACGAAUCCAUAACUCAUCUAAAUGCAAGUUAUCUAAUCCAUAACCCACCCAAACAUAGGUUAACUAGUCCAUAACCCACGUAAACACAGGUUAACUAAUCCAUAACCCACCCAAACAUAGGUUAACUAGUCCAUAACCCACGUAAACACAGGUUAACUAAUCCAUAACCCACACAAAACACAGGUUAAUGAAUCCAUAACCAAUCCAAAUGCUGGUUAACUAAUCCAUAACCCACGCAAACAUAGGUUAACUAGUCCAUAACCCUUGUAAACACAGGUUAACUAAUCCAUAACCCACUCAAAACACGUGUUAACUAGUCAAUAACCCACGUAAACACAGGUUAACUAAUCCAUAACCCACUCAAAACACAGGUUAAUGAAUCAAUACGCCACCCAAACAAAGGUUAACUAAUCCAUUACCCUAAACUAACCAAAUAUAGGGGAACUGUAAAUCCAUAGCCCUCCCAAACAUAGGUUAACUAAUUCAUAACCUUAACCCACCUGCACAGGUUAAUCAGACUUGUGUGUGUGUGUUUGUGUGUGUGUGUGUUUGUGUGUGUGUUUGUGUGUGUGUGUGUGUGUGUUUGUGUGUGUGUGUGUGUUUGCGUGUGUGUGUGUGUGUGUGUGUUUGUGUGUGUGUGUUUGUGUGUGUGUGUUUGUGUGUGUGUGUGUUUGUGUGUGUGUGUGUGUUUGUGCGUGU